CUUCCUCUCCCCUCUUUUUUUUCUUAUUCUCCCACAUCGGCUCAGACAAUCCACCCUCCUCCCCCCUCCGGCAUCGUCAGGCUCCUCAUCCAAGCUUCCCUCAGCUUUCUCUCUCUUUAUAAAGCAACGGAGGGAUCUCUCUAAAAAUCUCUCUCUCAAAUUAGACCUAAUCUCUCUCUCAUCCCCUAACCAUUAAUCUCUUCCCCAAUCUCUGAAUCUGCGGGCUCCAGCAGAGAGAUCGUCGAGACAUGGCGACGUCAGAAGCGAACCCUGGAGUGCCUCCCCUCCCACCUCGCCGACGCCCUCUUCCGUUGCCUCCGCCACCGCCACCUCCUCUACCCAUCCCUCCUCGACAUUGCGUUGAAGAGGUUGAUUUGAGUGGGGAGAGCAGCGUGGAUGCUGAGUGGAUGACUUAUUUGGGGGGAUUUCGGAAUCUUCGAAUUUUGAAGCUUUCGUAUUGCAGGAGUUUGAAUAUUCUAUAAGAUAAAACAAGCACGAGAGAUUUUUAGUGGCAUGAGAGUUAGGAUUCCAGUCAAUUGGAAUGCUAUGCUAGCUGGGUUCAUCAACAAUGGGCAAUCAGAGGAUGGAUUAAAAUUGUUUAAACUGAUGGUGGGGUCAGUUGAGGUGCGCCCGAACCCAUCAACAUUAACCAGUGCAUUAUUGGUUGUUCAACUAGGUGGGAAAGAUAUGCUUGCAAUGCUUCAUAUUGGCUUGCAAAAGUGCAAAAAAAUUGAAUGUUUUUGUAAGUCAACUAUUUAUUUUACCCCCUUAAUGAAUAUGAGAUUUAAUGCACAAGCUUCUCCCUUUUCUUUUAUUGUAAAUACCAUGUACAAAAUUGACAAAUCUAAUAAAAAUCUCAGUUACAAUUAAGGCAUGAGUAUCAACAUUAGUUUAAGCAUCAUAUACAUGGCCCUCGCAUCUAAAUGAGUUGGUACAGUGAUAUAAAGCUGAUAGGGUGAAGGACGAAAAUAAGUAUGGGCACUAUGAAAGUGUUGCGCCUUUGUCAUUCCAGAAUCAAGUUUUUGAAGGGCCUGACAAGGACAUAGAAACAGAAAUGCAUCUUGCCAAUGCAAGGCAGUCCAGAAUUGAAGAGGCAACUGAUGAUGAUGGUCCCAGCACCUCAGGAAGACAGAUAA